AGCACGUAAUGCUGAUGACGGGCCGGAGGCAGUGAGUUACGUGCUGUCCUGACCUGAAAAGCUGGAUUGGCAACGACACCUGAUGUCCCAGCAGAGGGCUGCUGCCGUGCCAUCUGUGCAGGAGAAUUGAACAAAUUGCGAUGAUGGAAACUGAAAAGCAUUUAGACACCUUCAUUUCAGGUGCAUUCCUUCUCUCCAGUAUUGAAAUCUGUGAUGAGUUGCAGUUGGUAAAAUGAAAAUGUCUUAAAUUCAGGAAAUGUUGAAACAGUUGAAAACACUCAGCAUGGAAUCCAGGCAACAAUAACACUGAUGUCAGCCUGCUGCCUAAGAUUCACAGGGGUUCCCAAGAGGAAAUAUGUCACUAGAUGCUUGCCAGCCACCGUUCUCUCCUUCCCCCAGGUUUGCCGGAUGACCAUCCUGGCAUCGAUGUCUUGACAUGAGGAUGCCACAAGUAGUACAAGGAAAGCAUAGAAUCAUGGGAUCACCAAGAUUGGAGAAGACCUCCAAGAUCAUCCACUCCAACCACCCACCUACCAUCAACAUUUCCCCACUAAGCAUGUUACCUAGCAUGCCUUUGACCCAUCAGCAGUGACACGCAUGCCAGAUCCAGAAGUCGCUCCUGAUCUUGCUGCUGGAGGGGCUAUGAGCGGUAUGUUUGACAUUGGGCCAGCUGCUUGGAAAAAGAAGACAAAGCAGUGGGUCAGGUUACUGGGACAUUUCUCUUUUUGCAGACUGUAAGUGACUCACUAAGGCAUAUUGACAUGAAAAGGGAGUGGUCUGCACUUCUCUGUCUUUUAGAGGAAGGAGACCCGAAGAAUAACAGCUCAUUCAUCUUUGUAACAUAUCAAUGUGCUGCAUACAUGGUUGCAAGCCUAGUACAAAUUGUAAGAGAGAGAAAAAUAAUGAAAGUAAAGCCAAACAGAUCACAGUGCCAAAAAGAAUUACAUGCCUCCAUAAAUGAACUGAGAAAAUUCCAAUGGUUGAGUAACUAAGUACAUGACCAAAUGGCUCACCAGCUCCUCUUUCAGAGAACUAGAGUGAGAGAAUUUUUACUGGGAGGAAAGCAUUCCAUUCCUCUUCUCCCACUUUAUAACAGCAAAUUUUAUAAUUUUAUUUGGUUUCCCAUAAAACAAAAAAACAAAAAAACAAAAAUAAAAAAAAAAAGAAAACAAAUGGAGCUGGGAAGCCUCAGAGUUGUAGAUUUCAUGAAAAUCUGAUCUCUGUCUUCUGACCAGGAAUGUUCUGCCUGGACUCCCCAAGCCACACCAGUGCUUUCCUCUCAAAUGCAGACAGAGGCCUCCAACUUCUUUCCUUUUUACUCAAUGAAUAGGUUAUGUGUUAAAGACUUAAAUGCAUUUUAACAUUCAGACAGUAAGUUCAACUCUACUUAUCAAUAGGAAUGAUCCCAGUAAUUUUGAUAAGUACCCACAAAAACAAGAUGAGUAGAAUUGGAGUCCUAAUUUGCUGAAAUUCCUUCCACAGUGAAAUGUAUGUUUUUUUAAAGAUUCAAUAAGCAUUUUUGAAAAUACCUACCAAAUUCAUGUUUCUUCUGAUAUUUGCAUUUAAAUUAUCUUUACAUUGAAUACUUCUCAGAUCUGUAUUUUUUCAACUAUGCAUAGCAUACAGUAGUCUUACGAUCAUCUCAGUAACUGUUUUAAAUAAAUAUACAUGUAAGUUUGCAUGAGAGUUUAGCUAUAAUAAAAAAACAUGCACAUAUAAACACAUUUCUACAUAUGAUGUUCUAAGAACAAGGAAACAACCCAUCUUGUUCAAAAUGGGUUAGCUCCUGUUACCAGCUUUCAUGAUGCUGCUCAAGGAUCUGCCAUUGCUCCGUAGCAAGACUCCCAGCAUAUGUACAUCCAGAAGCCCUUCACACAAGCCAUUCCCUUAAUGGACGCCCAUUGAAAUUUCUUCAGAAAUACUCCAACCCCUCUGCUAAAGCAGGUUCCCGACAGCAAGUCACUCAGGAAAGC